CCUACGGGUGGCAGCAGUGGGGAAUAUUGCACAAUGGGGGAAACCCUGAUGCAGCAACGCCGCGUGAGUGAAGAAGUAUCUCGGUAUGUAAAGCUCUAUCAGCAGGGAAGAAAAUGACGGUACCUGACUAAGAAGCCCCGGCUAACUACGUGCCAGCAGCCGCGGUAAUACGUAGGGGGCAAGCGUUAUCCGGAUUGACUGGGUGGAAAGGGAGCGUAGACUGUGUGGCAAGUCUGAAGUGAAAGCCGGGGGCACAACCCCGGGACUGCUUUGGAAACUGUCAUGCUGGAGUGCUGGAGAGGUAAGCGGAAUUCCUAGUGUAGCGGUGAAAUGCGUAGAUAUUAGGAGGAACACCAGUGGCGAAGGCGGCUUACUGGACAGUAACUGACGUUGAGGCUCGAAAGCGUGGGGAGCAAACAGGAUUAGAUACCCGAGUAGUC
rnacentral:rRNA from 1 species